rnacentral:rRNA from 1 species
AGAACCUUACCAGCGUUUGACAUGGUAGGACGACUGGCAGAGAUGCCUUUCUUCCCUUCGGGGACCUACACACAGGUGCUGCAUGGCUGUCGUCAGCUCGUGUCGUGAGAUGUUGGGUUAAGUCCCGCAACGAGCGCAACCCUCGACUUUAGUUACCAUCAUUAAGUUGGGUACUUUAAAGUAACCGCCGGUGAUAAGCCGGAGGAAGGUGGGGAUGACGUCAAGUCCUCAUGGCCCUUACGCGCUGGGCUACACACGUGCUACAAUGGCAAGUACAGUGGGCAGCAAUCCCGCGAGGGUGAGCUAAUCUCCAAACCUUGUCUCAGUCUCGGAUUGUUCUCUGCAACUCGAGAGCAUGAAGGCGGAAUCGCUAGUAAUCGCGG